GGACUACACGGGUUUCUAAUCCUGUUUGAUUCCCACACUUUCGUGCCUCAGUGUCAGUUGUAGCCUGGCAAGCUGCCUGCGCUAUCGGUGUUCUUCGUAAUAUCUAUGCAUUUCACCGCUACACUACGAAUUCCGCCUGCCUCGUUUACACUCAAGUUCCCCAGUUUCAACGGCAAUGUUGACGUUAAGCGUCAAGAUUUCACCGCUGACUUAAAAAACAACCUACGCACCCUUUAAACCCAAUAAAUCCGGAUAACGCUCGCAUCCUCCGUAUUACCGCGGCGGCUGGCAC
rnacentral:rRNA from 1 species